rnacentral:rRNA from 1 species
GACGAACGCUGGCGGCGUGCCUAAUACAUGCAAGUUGAGCGCUGAAGGUUGGUACUUGUUCCAACUGGAUGAGCAGCGAACGGGUGAGUAACGCGUGGGGAAUCUGCCUUUGAGCGGGGGACAACAUUUGGAAACGAAUGCUAAUACCGCAUAAAAACUUUAAACACAAGUUUUAAGUUUGAAAGAUGCAAUUGCAUCACUCAAAGAUGAUCCCGCGUUGUAUUAGCUAGUUGGUGAGGUAAAGGCUCACCAAGGCGAUGAUACCUAGCCGACCUGAGAGGGUGAUCGGCCACAUUGGGACUGAGACACGGCCCAAACUCCUACGGGAAGCAGCAGUAGGGAAACUUCGGCCAUGGACGAAAGGCUGACCGGGCAACGCCGCGUGAGUGAAGAAGGGUUUCGGAUCGUAAAACUCUGUUGGUAGAGAAGAACGUUGGUGAGAGUGGAAAGCUCAUCAAGUGACGGUAACUACCCAGAAAGGGACGGCUAACUACGUG